CGCGAUGAUACUAAUGAACCAGCCGUGGAAUGGGAACACGACGUACGCCGAACCCCACGUCAUCCCGACGGCCCACGUGAGCUUCAGCGAUGCGUGGAAGAUCCUCACGUACUUCAACUCCAUGCCCGAUGUAACGGCAGCAAUCAUCUUCAACGGCACACAAUACGGCGCUCGACCGUCACCCUCAGUGGCUUUCUUCUCGUCGCGCGGCCCUAGCCUCAUGAAUGGCAACAUCAUCAAGCCGGACGUCAUUGCACCGGGCGUCAACGUUCUAGCCGCUUGGCCAUUCGAGGUAGGGCCUAAACCUGACCAGCACCUUCAGCCCACAACUCACACAUUCAACUUCGAUUCGGGAACGUCGAUGGCGACCCCUCACGUGGCCGGCAUUGUGGCAAUGUUAAAGAAUAACCAUCCUGAUUGGUCUCCUGCUGCCAUUAAGUCGGCGAUCAUGACUACCGCUUACAUGGUCGACGCCGAUGGGAAUCCUAUCGGCGAUGAUUCCAAGCCCGCGGGGACCCCAGCAAGUGCAUAUGCCAUGGGCUCGGGCCACGUCGACCCGUUGGCGGCCAACGACCCGGGCCUCGUCUAUGACCUUCAUUACUAUGAUUAUAUCCAUUACCUCUGCGGCAUGGGCUUCACUGACGCACAAGUCGGAGCCAUCGGUCGCGGUUCGGUGCAGUGUUCUAAGGUCCGGGCGAUCAGCCCGGAACAGCUGAACUAUCCUUCUAUGGCGGUGUACCUAAGUGCUAGUACGACCCAGGUGACGGUCGACCGAACGGUGACGAAUGUCGGGGACGCCGUUUCGACCUACGAGGUGAAGUACGACGAACCGGAAGGAGUGAGAGUUGAAGUUACGCCUGAUACGCUGCAAUUCUCCCGAGCCGGGCAGAUGAAGGAUUUUCAAGUGACAUUAAGCGUCGAGCCCGGGAGCCCAACAGUUAGGAUGGCGGGGCAAGUUUUUGAGGGGCAAAUGGCGUGGGUCUCCGGAAAGUACUACGUAAGGAGUCCUAUUGCCGUCACAAUCCAGUGAAACACGGUAUUACUUCUCGAGUCCCAUGUGCAAAACAACGUACUAGUUCUUUCCCCGGCGUGUAAAAAAGAAAACAUAAUAUAAAAUAAAUAAAAAACAUGUUUGUCUACCAAAAGGCUCUACUUCGUGGAAACUAAGAUUCUUCUUCUUUUUUCUUGUUUGUUUUUGUUUUUUUCUUUUUUUUUUCUUUUUUUAUUAUUAUUAUUAUGGUGUCUGAUCAGAUGAAGCAAUCGGACUGAGCCCAGUUUGAGUGGAGUGUGCACUCCGAGAAACCAACUACAAUCCAUUCCUCGUGGGUCAACAGAGCAAAAUUAUUGCCUAAAAAUAGCCGUACAAGUAAAUAAAAGGUCAAAAAAGUAUGGGAACAAAAGUAGUGAAAACCAAAGAUUCUCGAAUUACGCCCAUAUUCUACCAAGCGCGACAAAAGUUAAACAUUUUUCAAGUAUCCUAUACAAAACCAGCAAAUACAACUAGAAAUUCUUGUUUUUAAACUUUCGAAUAUUUGAAAUUGAGUGAAUUUUCUGAAAUAAAGUAGAGGCAUUAUCAAGUUCAUCUAUGGUCUCAUCAAUUUAAUAAUUUUAAUUAUUUUUUAGCAAAUAAAAUUAGGACAGUUAAUGGCUAAUAUCUAGAUGAGCUAUUAAUUGUUUUUUUUUUGGAAAAAAAACAUUAGCUAAAUUAAUUAGAACAACUAAAAGAAAUUAGAAAUUAGUGAGGCGUUCAUUCCGAAAAAGUGGAGGCGCCUAUUUUAUAGAUGAGUGGGGGGCCUGCAAACAAUUAUAUAUCUUAAUUAAUUAACAACUAUCCUGACCGGACUCCAAAUAAAUUAAAAAGAAAUAACGAAAUGAUCGCAUCCAAAACCCUGCGAUAACACACCAGUAAAAGAACAUUUGUAUGCUCAACCUUUUCAACAACCCCUAAUAUAAAAAUAUCCAGAAGAAAUUAAGAUAUCAAAUAGAACCUAUUAUUUUAGUAACAUGACCUCUCACUUACCUUCCCCCCCCAGGAGCAUGACGACCGUGGAAGAAGAGAAGGAUAGCAAGAAGAAUAGUGUAAAGAUAGAGGAGGCCAAAGAAGAAGGGGAUGAUUCCGACGAUGAUUGUUACGAGAUCGAUCCCAUCGACUUCGCCCGCAUACUCACCUUGAAAGUCUCUGAUGAAGUUGUUCUUGUUUCUGAGAAGGAACCAGUAAGAAAUCAAUCUCUACCCCCUUAAUUCUACCACCAUAAUCAAAGUUUUAAAACUAAAGGGCGAUUCGAUACUUAAAACCCGAUUGAAUUAUAUGAUGUUGAUCACUACAAUAGGUUGCACUGAGGGACUUCCCCCAUCCAAGGCACCUGUGUGCGAAUUUCCCCUUCAACACUUCUCCCCAUGAGAGUUACUGCAGCCAGGUUCCUUUUUUUUUUUUUUUUUCUUUUGAAGUGUUUCUUGAUCAAAUUUCUCAUCUUAUUUGUUCACUGGUAUGGUUUGUAUUAUGUGAAAAUUUUGUCACAGAGGUAAUGAAAUAGAAAGGUACUAUCACCUUGUAUGAUACAAUAUUGGAUACCCCAACUCCCUGGGGGGGGGGGCACGUUAUGGUUAGAAACUUAAACAUUUUAAGUUCCUGUAGCCUACUAUGCCUGGAAAUCAGGCUAACUUGGGGAGGCAAUCUAAAUUCUAAACUUGCUGCACUUUUUAUGACAAUGAAUCAUCCAUUGAUAUCAUGGUAAGUUUACUACUAUAAUCCUUUGCCCUUUGGACUCAUCUAAUAUGUUUAAUAAAGGAAACAUACAGGACAUAUGAACAUUGCAUGCUUGCAUUUGCUUUAUGAAGAAAAAGGGGACUAAAAUACAAAGAUUUUGCCAUAGCCACAUAAAGUUGAAGGAAUAAAGCUCGACGUACCUUAGAAUAUGCUCCAAAAUAAACUGCUUGCUUGCUUGCGGAUAACGCCAGUUAUCCUCUCAUAAAUUGCACACUGGACAGCAUCUUCAGUACAUUUUGGUGUACUGAUAAAAAAAAAUGCUCAAAAUAGAGGACUUAUGAAUACCCUGAAUUCAUCAUGAUUUUAGAUAUCGUAAGACAUUGCAAAGCAUGCUUCCGAAAGUUAAAUGAGAAUUGUACAUACUUGAUUCACGGGUACCCUUCAGAAGUCUCAGCAACAUCUGACAGUUGUUUAUGUCUGAUGCAGUGUUUUUGUUACGUCUGCGAAGUAGCUGCUCCCUGUAAGCAGUGGGAAGGAACAGAUGGGCAUUGCAAUGUAUCGAAGAAGUAAUAAAGGAGAUUUUAGAAGACUUGGUAAGGACUUCCCGGAGAGGGCAGAAUUUUAAGUCUGCUGAUAUAUAGAACCCUUGCUCUGUUCCAAGAGGAUUUGUGGGAUAUCUUAAGAAAGUUAAAUGUUUUGGCGGUUUAUUGCUAAAGGCUCUUUCAUACCAGGAACUGAUAAAUACCAUCACGAGUUGAUGAGGAAUCAGUGGAAUUUAACUUCUUUCAAAUUAAUUAAGACAUAAACACGGGCAUAUCACAAGUACGUCCGACCCCACGAAACUAUUAUACUUGGGAUUCUCGCUAUUCGUAGAAUUUUUUCCAAGUGAAAUUUCUCUCUGUUCUAUCAUGCAUGCUUGGCGGUCUCGCAGGGCACUGUCUCAACACUAUUCCUUCAACCAAAGAUUACGAAGAGGGGGAAGGAAAAAAAAUCGAGAUGUUUAAAGUAACUUUUAUCUAUUCCAGUUAAGCAAACUACGGUUUUGGCCAAGUGCAUAGUGCUGCAAAACUAGGCAACAACCUUACUAGCUAGAAUAUCUUUCCUUAACAAAAGAGAAGAGCAUAUCUAACACGACUAAAAUCAAACACAGAGACUGGAUUUCUACAAUUACAUUGUUCCCGAAUAAUUUCAUAAAAUUAACACAAGGACAAUAUUAGCACAUUGGCACCGACUUCGCUUACACAUUCAAAUGAUCAACUGCAGAAAAAUUACAGCAACACAAACAUAAUACAAAACAGACUAGCUAACUUUGUGGAAGUAUUAAGUAACGGAGAUAAUCAAUCAAGUAUCAUCAUCAUAAGAGGCAUGGAAGUCCGUAGAACAACCUGGGGCAUCUGGAUCCUCGGCGCCGCAGCAGUCGUAGAACUUGGCAGCAUAAGGCGGAUCAUCCGGUCCAAGCUCGUAGUACCUUCGAUCAACAAGAAUAAAAGAAUCGGGAUGGAUCUAUUUAAUCCAUCGAUUUGAACAGGUUGGCUUAACUAUUGGCUUAACUAUUCAGAUUAAGAAAAAGAAGACGAGAGAGAGAGAGAGAGAGAGAGAGAGAGAGAGAGAGAGAGAGAGAUCGAUCGUAGUGUGGUUAGUGUUUAGGGUUUAGGGAUUAGUUGGUGACCUCUUCUGGUCGUCGUGGCGUCGGCAAACGAAGAAGGAUGGGUGGAAACUGCAGGAGGAGGGCGUGUUUUCGGAGGGAUCGAAGCGGCGCUUGCAUCGCCGACACAGCUUCUCCACCGCAGCAGCAACCACCACGACCUCCCCUGCUUCCGACAUCUUCUUUCUUUCUUCCUUUCUUUCUUUCUUUCCUCGCUCGUCGCCCGCCCAUCUUUCCCCCAACUCGCUCUCCCCCUCCCUCUCCGCCCCUUGUCUUCUCUGAUCCCCGAGCCACGCGUCGUCACGAGGCCCAUAUAUAUAGAUAAGGCCGGCUUCUUGGGCCGGCCCAUUGUGACGCGGGUGCCAGCGGAUCGGACGGUUCAGAAAGUUUAGGUCAGGCCCGCUCCCCGAUCAAACUAAACUGAAAACUCGCAGGGAUUGCGAUUGCGGAGUCAUGAGCUUUUGAAAAGAACUUCCUUGGUUGGGAUUGUAGAAAAAUUAUGUUACGUGAAGUUAGAAAAUGCGAUUAAAAAUUAUGAUGUUUAUUUUCGUACGUAAUAUUACAUUCCGCAUAUCGCGAUUAGUCGGUUAAGAUAUAUUUUUUACGGUUCUAUCGGAGAACGCAAAAGUAUAUUCCUAUAUAUUUUUAUCCCAUCUUUAUUUUAUCUAAUAGCAUUAAAUAACUUUGGACGUUCCUAUAGAAAAUAGGAUUAGAGUAGGAACUGGUGACCUACCUAGAGAAAAUAGGACUAGAGGUUGAACUGGCUUUUUGGCAUUCAGUUUAUUCUUGUUUAAGUAUUUUAGUUUUAGGAACAAAGCAGUGGAACACCCAAAUAUCAUCUCAAGUAAAAGUAACUACCAGACAACAGAAAAUUACGGCAGGGACAUUAAGGACUUCACCUUCAUGAGCAGCAAUCUCAGACAGAUAAGUUGCAUUGUGCCUUGUGUUUUCACUCGGGUCAGUGAAUUCAAUGAUUAAGCCGUACUUUCCAAUCUGCAUGUCAGAACAAAAAAUUUACUCAAAUAGAAACUUUUAUAACUAAAAAUUCUUAAACAACAUAUGGAACUAAAAUAAUGACAUAGAACACCUGAAAUAAAGACAUAGAACAGACAAGUAAAGCAGAACCUGUUAAUUGACAAGAUAAUAAGUAAUUCUUAGUGCAUCUUUGUUGGAAGAAGAAUUUGAGGAACACUUGUAAUUAAAAUAGCAUAUUAUUCAGGGGUUGAUUAUGUAGAUCAUGACAUACUAAUAAUUCCUAUAUAUUUAAGGCCUAUUAGUUGGUAAAAGAUAUACUUUCUCAUUUGACAAUCAUUUUGUAGUUUGAUCCUCAGCUUGCCUCUUUGCUGUACCAGAUGGGGUGUUUAACUUGCCUCUCACAAAUAAAUUACUCAUACAAAGUUUCACAUCUAUUCCUACAAAGUUUUUUUUUUUUGAGAGAUUAUUCCUACAAAGUUUGAACUAUAAAAUUUGUAUAAUCUUGAUAGUCAAAUACAUUUCUCUAACAUUUAAAAGUAUGCAAAAUUUUAUUCGUGCAGGUUGACUAUUGUAAGUUCACGCACGGUGGAAAUAUACUUAAAAAUAAUUUUUAUUUAAGAGUAGGCCAUUUUGAAAAAGAAAAAGUUAACUUUAAACAUUCAACUAAUGGAGAGGAUGCAUUUCCAAACUAUGCACUAUGGAGAAACAUAUUUCAAGACUAAAAUUUUGGAGGAGUAAUUAUGUAUUCAACUACUUUACAGUUUACAGUGAUAAUAAUAUGCAUGAAAAAAAAAUUUGAAAAAAGAAUAUCAUAUAAGUGAUUGUAAUAAUUAGUAGUAUAACUGGGAGAUUUUCCAAAUUUCCCUGUACGUAUUGGCAUGUGCAUGGGAACUUCGGCAUUGGCACCUCUUCUAUGAAAAGGUGAAUAAGCUGGUGUAUCUAUUAUUGCGUUCAACAAAACGCCCGUAUUGCCAUUUGCAGCUAUACAUGUAUGUAGUUCAAAAAGCACUUGAUUUGGAACUAGGUAGAAGAAAACACUUCUGGGUCUUUGGAUUCGUCUAGCACGAUUAGAGAGAAGGAGAGAGAGUUCACUUAUUGCAUUUCAUAAUUCAUAUAAGUGCACCGCAUGGCAUCACUUACUACGGAUCAUUAUUAGUUAUCCAUAAUGUAACCUGUUUUCCAUAAUUAAUCAAAUUAUUUCUCGCAACGAUUUGUCCGUGCAAGGUUGUUUCUUGCGAACAUUUGGAAAGGAUCCUAUUUAAGGACCAUAUGCCUCUCCUCUUUGCAAGCACACCUUCUCUAUUGCGUUGCUACCAUGGAAAUUUUACACUCAAUCUUCUACUUGCUUAUUUCUUUUUCCUUCUUCCUAUCCAAUCCAACUCUUCUCUUGGUUCACUGCCAAAUAAAGCCCAUUUCAAAUGACACCCAAAUGCAGGUCUAUAUUGUUCAUGUACAAAAGCCUGACAGCACGAGCUUCCGUCGGUUCAAGGAUCGGAAAGAGUGGUACGCGUCCUUCUUGCCCAACACCACCCUCGACUCCGGCAAGCCGCGCAUGGUCUACGCGUACCGCCAAGCGAUCAGCGGCUUCGCAGCGUGGCUCACCUCUCAAGAAGUAGAAGCCAUGAAAUCUACGGAUGGCGUUCUCGUAGCCUACCCCGACAGCGAGUAUGAUGCUCAAACCACCUACACCCCGGAGUUCCUAGGACUAAACGCAUGGGAGGACGGCGUUUGGUACGACUCUCAAUACGGGGCGGGGCAAAUCAUCGGGGUUAUCGACACCGGAUUUAAGCCCGGUCAUCCUUCCUUCAGGGAUACUGAUGUAAAUCCGCCGCCAGAGACGUGGAACGGAAGCUGCUACUGGAAACAUUCCGUGUGCAACAACAAGCUCAUCGGUGCAGUGGGAUACAAGCAUGGGCGCACCGUCUCACCUGAAGACAAGAACGGUCAUGGAACCCACACAGCGAGCACAGCUGCGGGGAAUUUCGUGGAUGAUGCUCACGUACUCGGCAUGGCACGCGGCACGGCGUCAGGGACGGCACCUAAAGCUCAUCUAGCAAUCUAUAAGGUGCUACACAUCACCAAAACUGCGAGUACUGGUACGGUUGUCAAAGCGCUUGUUAGUGACACAUUGAGGGGCAUCGACGAAGCGAUCCGGAAUCACGUAAAUGUGCUAUCCAUGUCCCUCGGGUUGGAGAAGCAACGGCUGCAUGCGGACUCUAUUGCCAUAGGAUCAUACGCAGCAAUCACCAAAGGGAUCGUCCCGGUGGCCGCUGCCGCAAAUGCAGGCCCCUUCGCGAGUGUCAUAGCGAAUGAUGCGCCGUGGAUACUUACCGUCGGAGCAAGCACUACAGACAGGAGGAUAAGGGCCAUUGUCAAGCUCGGAAACGGUAUGGAGCUCUUCGGCGAAACAGCAUACCAGCCGGAGGGAUUCAACUCGACUCAGCUACCGUUGGUUUAUCCAGGGGUGCGAAAGACGCAAAAGACCUUGAAUUGCUUGAACGGCUCCAUGGACACUUUCGAUGUUAAAGGGAAAAUCGUGUUGUGCGGGGUUGGACAUAUUACAAACAUCGAAAAGGGUGAGAUCGUUAAGGCGGCAGGCGGUGCGGCGAUGAUACUAAUGAACCAGCCGUGGAAUGGGAACACGACGUUCUCCGAACCCCACGUCAUCCCGACGGCCCAUGUGAGCUUCAGCGAUGCGUGGAAGAUCAUCACGUACUUCAACUCCACGCCUAACGGAACAGCAGCAAUCACCUUCAACGGCACACAAUACGGCGUUCAACCAUCACCCUCGGUGGCUUACUUCUCGUCUCGCGGCCCUAGCCUCAUGAACGGCAACAUCAUCAAGCCGGACGUCAUCGCACCGGGCGUCAACAUUCUAGCCGCUUGGCCGUUCGAG
rnacentral:lncRNA from 1 species